rnacentral:rRNA from 1 species
UACGACUACAUAUCAGGCAUAUCAAUAAGCGGAGGAAAAGAAACUAACAAGGAUUCCCCUAGUAACGGCGAGUGAAGCGGGAAGAGCUCAAAUUUGAAAUCUUCAAGGUUCUACCUUGACGAAUUGUAGUUUAAAGAAGUGUUUUCGGUUAGAGGAGUAGUAAAAGUUCUUUGGAAUAGGACAUCAUAGAGGGUGAGAAUCCCGUAUUUGACUAUUCUUUCUAGCUUUGUGAUACACUUUCAAAGAGUCGGAUUGUUUGGGAAUGCAGUCCAAAAUGGGUGGUAAAUUUCAUCUAAAGCUAAAUAUUGGCGAGAGACCGAUAGCGAACAAGUACCGUGAGGGAAAGAUGAAAAGAACUUUGAAAAGAGAGUUAAACAGUACGUGAAAUUGUCAAAAGGGAAGCGUUUGACACCAGUGUUGUUUCUACGAAAAUCAAUUUAUGAUGGCUUGAUGCUAAGCUUUAAGACUUUAUCCGCUUGUUGUUUAGUUUUCUUGUCUUUGUGAAUGCACUUUUCGUGGAACAAGUCAACAUCAAUUUCUUUUGCUGUAAAAGGGUAAGAGGAAGGUGGCUUCGGCUUCGGUUGAAGUGUUUAUAGCCUUUUAUCUCUGCAGUCGGAGAGAUUGAGGUCUGCAGCGUAGACUCUUCGGGGUUAGAUACGUCGGUGCUAAGCUAUAGCUUUUCAUAGACAACUUGUUGACUAUGUUUAGUCAUGUGGCUUGCCCGCUGGCGCUAUUUUACCUACGCUUAGGAUGUUGACACACGCGCGUGCUCG